rnacentral:rRNA from 1 species
CGAACGUUGGCGGCGUGCUUAACACAUGCAAGUCGAACGAGAAAGUUUCCUUCGGGAAGCGAGUAAAGUGGCGCACGGGUGAGUAACACGUAGAUAACCUGUCCAGGUGUUCGGGAUAGCCCUUCGAAAGGGGGAUUAAUACCGGAUACGUUGGUUUGUCUUAAGACAGAUCAAGAAAGGUGGCCUCUAUUUAUAAGCUAUCGCAUUUGGAGGGGUCUGCGUACCAUUAGUUUGUUGGUGGGGUAAAGGCCUACCAAGACUUCGAUGGUUAGCGGGUCUGAGAGGAUGAUCCGUCACACUGGACCUGAAACACGGGCCAGACUCCUACGGGAGGCAGCAGUGAGGAAUAUUGCGCAAUGGGGGAAACCCUGACGCAGCGACGCCGCGUGGGUGAGGAAGGCUUUCGGGUCGUAAAGCCCUGUCAGAAGGGAAGAAAUGUGUAUAGGUUAAUAUCUUAUGCAUUUGACGGUACCUUCAAAGGAAGCACCGGCUAACUCC